UACGUGUCAAACUUUCCAGACGUUCGAGCACGAAAACUCACUGAUCUUCAGAACCGUCUUCGAGCACGAAAACUCACUGAUCAUCACAUCAAUGUUCGAGCACGAAAAUUUGAUCAUCAGAACCGUCUUCAACCAUGAAAACUCAUUGAUCAUCACAACCGUAAGUGAGGUUUGGUUUUUUUUUUUUAAAUA